UUGGGCCAAAUAUGGUAAAUAUACAUUUUAGAUCAACGGCAACCAUUAAAUUAAAUCAAUAUACUUAGGCAAAGCAAAAAAAAAACAAUAUUCAUAAAAUGAUUGUACCAACGAUGAUGGCAAGUUUGGUGAGUUUGAAUUCUACUAAAAUAAAAUCGAUUUCAUGGAGCUGAAAAUAGACUAUGACUAGACUACGUCACCACAUCAUCAUCUUCGUUCGCAUCUCUCUAUAGAAGAAUAAUUGGCCUGACUCUUCCAACGAAAAACACAAAAUAGAUCAUUUUGUAUAAACAAUUUGCCACAUACAAUCCCACCACUUGUGUAUUAUUUUAUUUUAUAGCCCCCAGAGUAUUUUUUCCCUCGUAAGGUAGAUCGAAGUAGUCGGAAUUUUCAGUUUUUUACCUGUUCUUGAACGGUUCAGUUCGGUUUUGAGUUUUCGAGUGCUCCAAAUGGAAUUAAAUUUUCGUUUCAAAAUAACAAAACAAAAAUAAAAUAUAAAUUCGUGAUGGAAACAAAACAAAGGGAUUUCAAAACAAAAAAAAAACAAACCUAUAUCAAGUACACCAUGACUGAUUGGGAUAUUUUCGAGAAGCUCUAAAGGCCGGGCCACAAUAAAUCAGCCAACAAAUAAAACGAGAUGAUUCAUUGUCCGUGACGAAUGUCUUUCAACCGAAGACAAUGCAAUUAGCAUAAAUGCCAAAAAUAUUUUACAUUUUUGCACUUGGCUCGACAUGUGAUUCAUCCAUAAUCAACAUCAUCGUCACCAUGAUAGAUGUGAUGUGAUUCGGUGCGGCAAGGUUGUUGAUUUGAAAACUACACGUGUAACGACAUUUGACGAGAUUUUGAUAAAAUCUAUUAAUUUUCAAUAAAGAUUGACGACUGUCUGUCAAAUUUUUGCUUUGUAAAAUUUUAACAAACAAGAUUGAAAAUAAAAAAGUACAUUUGGAAAAUAUAAAA